rnacentral:lncRNA from 1 species
UUAAACCUAUGAAUAUCUGCUGUUUUUAUCAUCUUAAUAUUACUUUUUAGGUUUCUCGAGAAGACUGAGCAUGUCACAUGACAGUCAGCCAGUGCUCCAAAGAUCCAUACCUUUGACUGCUGAUGAGGGACACUUAGAACUGAACUCCCAGAAAUCUCAUCUAUCGUCAACAACCGCUUGUCCCGACGAGCCGGAGCCUUACCUGGCAGCACUGGGCACAAGGCCGAAGGGGGAGGGGACACACCCAGGACAGGACGCCAGUCCGUCACUGCGCACUCCAAGCAGAGCUCGAACCCCAGACCUGCCGUGCCCUGCCAGCAAUCUCACUGUAUUUCUUUUUCUCCCACUGUGUGUACUGAAGUGUUAUCUUUUAUGGCUGAUUUAAUUAAACAACAUGACUCUAAAUGACAAAGACCUGCCUGUCAGGUCUGUGAGCUUGUUCCUAUUGACUUUGCCUUGGAGUCUCCUUUCCAUUCUCACCACUUCUCCAUGUCGCUUUCCUUUACAGGUGCCUCUUAUUUGAGGACCUGUCCGGGACCGAACUUAACCGAUACUAUGAUCUUAUCGUUUUGCGCGUCAAAAAGGUAAAACAUCUUUGUACUAUCAAUAUGACAUACAUUAACAGAGUGAUUGGUUAAUAAUGAUAAGGCAAUUACACGCACACUCAUGUCCAGGCUAUACCAUACAAUUCAAGCAGGUAUGAUUACACAAAUUGCACAUUCUGAUUUCAAGCAGAAAAUCACAAAACAUUUCAAGUCCAAACUAAAAAAAGAGAAAUCCAGUCAAAGGCUGCCUAAGGUUACAAUACAUUUCCAUCAUGUUUAAAUGCGGCCCAUGAUUUAACAUACCAACCUCACAAUGAACAGUUCUGUUAUUGUGUCAGGCAAUAUGUUUUCGCCAAUAAGAACGGCAGUAAGACAAACUAACACUGAAUCACUCGCACAGCAGACGUCCUAGAAUCAGGGAGAGCCUCUGGCAUAAAAAGGCGGCCUUGUGUCUUAGCGAAGUGCACGCUGGAAAAACAGGAGACUGAGAAACCGUUCCAAAUUCUUCUGCCGCGUAAACAAUUUGUGUUCGUGGAGAGCCAUACUCCCCUUUCGUUAAUUCCGGUGAGGUAUACCUGUUCUUACCUAAGGGGGAGGUCUGAUGACAGGCUGGGAAGAGAAGGCUGGGCUGUUUCUCCGCAAUGUUUUGCUGCCUGGUUUGGAGCUGACAGAGUUGUAUACAAGGCCUGUACAAGGCCUUCCCCGGACUGGGUAACCGCUCUUAGGCUUC